AAGACUAUACUUUCAGGGAUCAUUUCUAUAGUUCGUUACUAGAGAAGUUUCUCUGACUGUGUAGAGUACCGGAAACCACGAGGAGGAGGUGUAGCGUUCUCUCCUGAGCAUGAAGUCUGCUUUUGGUCAACUGCCAUUUGCCAUUUCUGCUCUCCAUCGGGGGGAGCUAGAGGGAGAGGACGCAGUCUGAGUGGC
rnacentral:snoRNA from 1 species